rnacentral:lncRNA from 1 species
ACCAGUGAUGGAACAUGUUUAUUUAUGUUAAGAUGUUCCUUAGCUUGUUGUCCGGUGAGUAAACCUUUGUAUUUUUUUCUCUUUCUUUUUAUCUAGGAUGGAGCAGUGUGAUGACGGCAGAGAGGGAGAAGAAGGAGGAGGAGGAGGAGGAGGUGGUCCACCCCUGGAUUGAGGCCUUCUGGCUCCGGCUGCCACCUAGAACAAAUGACAAUAAGAGGACAAGUGCCAACAUCAGGUAAGUAUAAAGUUCAUGCAAGUGAAGAAUAAAUUAGAGUAGAUUAUUAAGGGGGGGGAAAAA